rnacentral:rRNA from 1 species
CACUCCUACGGGAGGCAGCAGUGGGGAAUUUUGGACAAUGGGCGAAAGCCUGAUCCAGCAAUGCCGCGUGAGUGAAGAAGGCCUUCGGGUUGUAAAGCUCUUUUGUCAGGGAAGAAACGGUGAGAGCUAAUAUCUCUUGCUAAUGACGGUACCUGAAGAAUAAGCACCGGCUAACUACGUGCCAGCAGCCGCGGUAAUACGUAGGGUGCAAGCGUUAAUCGGAAUUACUGGGCGUAAAGCGUGCGCAGGCGGUUUUGUAAGUCUGAUGUGAAAUCCCCGGGCUCAACCUGGGAAUUGCAUUGGAGACUGCAAGGCUAGAAUCUGGCAGAGGGGGGUAGAAUUCCACGUGUAGCAGUGAAAUGCGUAGAUAUGUGGAGGAACACCGAUGGCGAAGGCAGCCCCCUGGGUCAAGAUUGACGCUCAUGCACGAAAGCGUGGGGAGCAAACAGGAUUAGAAACCCUGGUAGUCCCAUGA